CCUUCGGGAUCGGAGUAAUGAUUAACAGGUAAAAUUGGAGACAAUCGUAUUUCAUAGUCAGUGAUGAAAUUCUUGGGUUUAUGAAAGAUGAACAACUGCAAAAGCAUUUGCCAAGGAUGUUUUCAUUAAUCAAGAAUGAAAGUUGGAGGCUCUAAGAUGAUCAGAUUUCGUCCUAGUCUCAACCAUAAACGAUGCCGACUAGGGAUCGACGGAUGUUGCUUAUAGGACUCCGCUGGC
rnacentral:rRNA from 1 species